GACGAACGCUGGCGGCGUGCUUAACACAUGCAAGUCGAGCGGUAAGGCCCUUUCGGGGGUACACGAGCGGCGAACGGGUGAGUAACACGUGGGUGACCUGCCUCUAGCUCUGGGAUAAGCCUGGGAAACUGGGUCUAAUACUGGAUAUGACUCCACGGUGCAUGUCGUGGGGUGGAAAGCCUUGUGCGGCUGAGGAUGGGCCCGCGGCCUAUCAGCUUGUUGGUGGGGGAUGGCCUACCAAGGCGACGACGGGUAGCCGGCCUGAGAGGGCGACCGGCCACACUGGGACUGAGACACGGCCCAGACUCCUACGGGAGGCAGCAGUGGGGAAUCUUGCGCAAUGGGCGAAAGCCUGACGCAGCGACGCCGCGUGAGGGAUGACGGCCUGGUGUAAC
rnacentral:rRNA from 1 species